AUACGGAGGGUGCAAGCGUUGUUCGGAAUCACUGGGCGUAAAGGGCGCGCAGGCGGUUUGGUAAGUCAGAUGUGAAAGCCCACGGCUCAACCGUGGAAGUGCAUUUGAAACUGCCAGACUUGAGUACCAGAGGGGAAAGUGGAAUUCCCGGUGUAGAGGUGAAAUUCGUAGAUAUCGGGAGGAAUACCGGUGGCGAAGGCGACUUUCUGGCUGGAUACUGACGCUGAGGCGCGAAAGCGUGGGGAGCAGACAGGAUUAGAUACCCUAGUAGUCC
rnacentral:rRNA from 1 species